CUGACCCCUUCCUAACCUGGAGAAACUCAUUGGAGGGCCAUGUCCAGGUGCGUCAGACUGCCUGACGUCAUCCAGCUCGGAGUAGGCUUUAUCCUGAGGUAGUGCAGUAAAAAGCUGCUAGCUCGAACCUUGGGGCGAGGCUGCGUGAUCUUGCUUCACGUUGUGACACUGUCGCGGCCUAGAGUCCCUCCAGAUGCACGAAACAUCAUGACCUUCACGUGAGGGCGUGCUGAGGGAGUCAGGACAUUUACUUUGACAAAAUCAGAGUGUUGCAAUGCUGGCCUUUGCUCGAAUACGUUAGCAUUGGAAUAAUAAAGAUGGGCGUGCGUUUCUAUCUUUGUUGGAUUGUAGAGACCCUGCAAUGAUUAUCAGGAACAGUCGGGGGCAUCAGUAUUCAGUGAUCAGAGGUGAAAUUAUUGGAUUUACUGAAGGACCAGCUAGUGCGAAAGCAUCUGUCAAGGAUGUUUUCAUUCAUCAGUGAAUAGAAAGUUAGGGGAUCGAAGACGAUCAGAUACCGUCGUAGUCUUAACCGUAAACUAUGCCGACUAGGGAUCGGGCGAUGUUCAAAAUUCGACUCGCUCGGCACCUUACGAGAAAUCAAAGUUUUUGGGUUCUGGGGGGAUUAUGGUCGCAAGGCUGAAACUUAAAGAAAUUGACGGAAGGUCCCCACCCGGGGUGGAGCUUGGGGCUUAAUUUGACUCAACACGGGGAAACUCACCAGGUCCAGAUGAAAUAAGGAUUGACAGAUUGAGAGCUCUUUCUUGAUUUUUCAGGUGGUGGAGCAUGGCCGUUUUUAGUUAUUGGGGUGACAAGUCCCAAAAAAUCCGAUAACGAGCGAGACCUUACUCUGCUAAAUAGCCAGGGGAACUUUGGUUGGUCGCCCGCUUUUCAGAGAGAGUAUCAAGUCAAGUUGAUGGAAGUUCGAGGCAAUAACAGGUCCCUGAUGCCCUUAGAUGUUCUGGGCCGCACGCGCGCUACAAUGACAGAGCCAACGAGUUCUUUUCCUUGUUAGAAAGAAUUGGGUAAUCUUGUUAAACUCUGUCGUGCUGGGGAUAAAGCAUUGCAAUUAUUGCUUUUCCCCGAGGAAUCCUUGGUAAGCGCGUGUCAUCAGCCAGCCUUGAUGAAGUCCGGGACCUUAGUACACACCGCCUGUCGAUAUUCCCGAUUGAAUGGCUCAGUGAGGCUUUUAUCACUGGCUCGAAUAGGUUGGCUAAUGACCACACUCAAGCCGGAAAGGUAGAAUGCUGAUGCGGGUGAUACCAGACUCACAGUCGAGAUAUCACUACAUUC
rnacentral:rRNA from 2 species